rnacentral:tRNA from 3 species
GCUGGAUUAGCUCAGUCGGUAGAGCGACGCAUUCGUAAUGCGUAGGUCGUGGGUUCAAGUCCCAUUUCCAGCU